rnacentral:rRNA from 1 species
UACGUAGGGUGCGAGCGUUGUCCGGAAUUAUUGGGCGUAAAGAGCUUGUAGGCGGUUUGUCGCGUCUGCUGUGAAAAUCCGGGGAUCAACCCCGGACUUGCAGUGGGUACGGGCAGACUAGAGUGUGGUAGGGGAGACUGGAAUUCCUGGUGUAGCGGUGAAAUGCGCAGAUAUCAGGAGGAACACCGAUGGCGAAGGCAGGUCUCUGGGCCACUACUGACGCUGAGAAGCGAAAGCAUGGGGAGCGAACAGGAUUAGAUA